AACAGUCUUCAUAAGCUUAGCACUAAGCGGAGCUUUUUUAGCAGCAGAUCCGAAUUCGACUUCACCUCUUUUAUUAAGCACAACUUUCAAAAAACCUUGUUGGUUCUCAGCGUCGCCGGUGGAUUGAAACAUAGUGGUAAGAACAGUAGCUUUAUCAGUUGAAAGUUUCCUCAUCUUUUCAACAUCGUAAUAAUCAAGAAUAACAUGAGCACUGAGAAUCUGUUUAAUGACAUCGAGAGAAUUUCCAGCGAUGGCACCGACGGUGGCGUUGCUAAGAGCAAGAACGGUGAUGGUUUGACGACUGUUGAUUUGUUCAUAGAGAUGGGUUUUAGUGAGUAAUUCAUUGAAAGCUCCAAAAUCAGGGAAUCGAUUGAGGAGUCUGGUGAUGUUGAAGGCUGAAACAGAGGAGGUGGAGAAGAAGAAGAAGAAGAAUAGAUGAAAUAUGGUGAAGGAGAGGACAGAAGAAGAGGGGUUAGGCUUUUUGUACUUCAUAAUUUUAUAUUGCUGACUUUAAUUAAUUUCUCUUUUUUCUUUUUCUCUUUUUUUCUUUUUUUUUGGAUUUUAACCAAAAAGAAAAAGGAAAAAGGAAAACUCUAACGAAACCUCUUCUUUUGUCUUUUUUGUUGUAGAUGGAAGGAAAGAAAUAUAUAGGAAGAAAAUUAAAAGAAGUAUUGGUUGGGAGUGAAUUUCUCAAGGUAACAAAUACCAGUUCAAGAGGAUUUGUUGUAUGGACAAAGGUAUGUGUUUGAUUUUCACUAUAUUCAUACCCUUUUUUUUUGGUUUGAAUCACUUUUUCAUGGAACAGAUCUGGAAAGAAAAUGAGAAUUACAAUACUUUUUUCCUAUUGUAUUUUGCUGUCUUGGUGGGUUUCAUAACUUCUUUUUUCUUACCGAAAAACAAAACAACCAUAGCUACAUUUAAAACAUUUAUAAAUAUCACAAUAUAUCUAGACCAAAAUAGUUGAACCAAAAUAGUUUGAAAGUAUAUAAAUUAAAACAAAGUGAAAAAUGGAGCAAAAUUAUAUUUGAAGUUAAUAUAUUAUAUAGUUACUAAUUACAAAAGAUGGGAUUAAAUUGAUACUUAUUGAAGUUUAUAACCCAUUAUUACAAAUUUCAAAGUAAAAAAUUCAAUACAAACUAAAGUUUCAGAAUUAAGGUAUUUGAGACACCAACUCUAAAUGGGUUGAGCAAAUUGCAAUAGCCCACACAACAUCUGGGGUGUGUGUUAAGAUACAGUGACUAAGUAAAGUUAAGAUCGUUGAGGUAUAAUGUGUGGUUCGUUUUACUUCAAUAAUACUAUUUAAAUUUAUUGAAUUAAAUAACCAAUUCAUACUCUCCAAUAUUUUUAAUGGCUUCAUUCCUUGAUAACCAACUUUAAUGAUCACUUCCGUUGGCCAACUCUAUUGAAGAACACGUUUAAUGACUAUUUUUAAUGAACAACUCACAUAAAUAUUUAUGCAACUUAACUCUAACAAUCACCCCAGCAAAAUCAUUCAUACAUUUAAAAGUUUUCUUUUAACUAAAUAAACUAAACUGAUGUUUUAAUAAAAACAUUUUUGAGUGUAUAGCAAACUAAACAAACUUGUGUAUAAAAAUAUGUUUUAAGACACAAAUUGCUUUUAUUUUAAAGCAUUUUUAUAAAAAGUGUUAAGUUAAAAUGUUCUCUUAAAAUGGUUUUUUAUAGUCAAUCCGAAAAUGACAUUAAAUUUGUUUCAUAUUAUUUCUUGGAAUCAUAUAUAUCAAUCAAUCGACCAUAUUUUUUUUUGGACGUCAAUGCGGUGAUGCCCUAUAACUUGCCAACUACCAUUUAGUACCUUUUCGUGCAAAAUUAUGUAGUUAAAGAAUUAGUUGUUUUUGUACACUUUCAAAUAUAGAAUUUACUUUACUUGACAUAUAAUUAUGGUAUGAUUUUUUUAUGUCUAAUCUCACAUGUAUCUUGCUAUGGUACAUUCCAAAAGACCAAGCUUAUGAAGAAUAACAACUAAAAAUCCAACACACUUAAAAUCAUAUUGUGCAUGUUUCAACAUUGUUAAGUAGUACAUCUCAAAGACCAAACUUUCCAAAAUCCAUUACACUUGUGCAAUCAACAUCAAGGUCGUAGAUAUGGGGUUUUUGAAUUCGAACUUCCAUAGACCUUAAUAACAACUUCAAGUGGGCAAUACAAUUGCUUGGUUGAUGCUUUGACAAAAGUUGCAUUUCGAAAAGUCUCUAAUACGUCGUUCUAGGAGUGAUCAACUCAAGUCGUAAAAUUGACAUAAGACAAUUGAUUCUAUGCCCUCGACAGCCAGUGAACUAAAAAAAAAGACUUAAUCAACCAAUCAAUUGUUGCAAAGGUAAAAACAAAAAAUAAAAGAGAAACAAAAAUUAUGCAAUGUAGAGCUCAAAAACAAGAUUUUGAUAGGUAAUAAAUGCCUAUUUAAACUAAUUAAUAAAUUAAUCAUUUCUUCAAGUGUCCCAAUCGUCUCUUCAUUGGAGGCCAACACCACCAUACCUACCUUUCCUUCUCAACUCCAACAAAGUUUCGUUCCAUAAGCAACUAACUAAGACCAACUGACCAACCAUCCAUGUAGUAGACCAGUUGGUUCAAUAGAUCCUUCCAAAAUCAACAACCAAGACUCGUUAAAAUCAACAAAUUGAUGUUCGAAAUCAAUUUGAGCACAAAACCAAAGCAAACCAACCAAUGCUCAUCUCUAAUCCUUAUCUUGCCUUAGGGACAUAGUUGGGAUAAAGGAAUCUCUCCUAGUUUUCUGGCUUAGAUCUCUUAUACAAGAAAAAAAAAGGUGCAAAUAAAACUCCAUUGAUUCACACAAAAAUACACAAUUCAAGGAUGCAAUAUAGAGCCACCCUCAUCUUAGGUAAGGGUAGGUUUCUACUGCUACUAAUACAAAGGACAAGUCUUCUUCAAAGAUAGACUCGUUCAUUAUGAAGCUUAAACCAAAAAAAUAUUUCACCAUGUUUGUUCAAACCUGAUGGCUUUACCAUUGCAGUUAUCCCAAGCGAGGAGGCAAUAUUGACAUUGGCAAAUGAUCAUUAGCAAGUUUUCCACCAUCAAAGGUACUCUAGUUGGUUAGCUUCAAACCACCACAAAAAAAAAAACCAUUGCAUCCUUAGAAAGGCAAUUUUUCAUUAAAGCCC
rnacentral:lncRNA from 1 species